rnacentral:rRNA from 1 species
UACGUAGGGUGCAAGCGUUAAUCGGAAUUACUGGGCGUAAAGCGUGCGCAGGCGGUUUUGUAAGUCAGGUGUGAAAGCCUUGAGCUCAACUCAAGAAAUGCACUUGAUACUGGAUGACUAGAGGACCGGAGAGGAUAGUGGAAUUCCCAGUGUAGUGGUGAAAUACGUAGAGAUUGGGAAGAACACCAGUGGCGAAGGCGGCUAUCUGGACGGUUUCUGACGCUAAGACGCGAAAGCGUGGGGAGCAAACAGG